UUAAGCUAAUAAGAGCACACGGAGGAUGCCUAGGCGCCAGGAGCCGACGAAGGACGUGGCGAACAACGAAACUGCCUCGGGGAGCUGUAAGCAAGCUUUGAUCCGGGGGUGUCCGAAUGGGGAAACCCAGCUGUGGUAAUUCGCAGUUACUCAUACCUGAAUACAUAGGGUAUGUAGAGGCAGACCAGGGGAACUGAAACAUCUAAGUACCCUGAGGAAGAGAAAACAAUAGUGAUUCCGUCAGUAGCGGCGAGCGAACGCGGAACAGCCUAAACCAAGGGGCUUGCCCCUUGGGGUUGUGGGACGUCUCACAUGGAGUUACAAAGGAAUAUGGUAGGUGAAGAGGUCUGGAAAGGCCCGCGAUAGAGGUAAAAGCCCUGUAACCUAAACUGUAUUCUCUCCGAGACGGAUCCCGAGUAGUGCGGGGCACGUGAAACCCCGUAUGAAUCCAGCAGGACCAUCUGCUAAGGCUAAAUACUACCUGGCGACCGAUAGUGAAACAGUACCGUGAGGGAAAGGUGAAAAGCACCCCGGAAGGGGAGUGAAAUAGAACCUGAAACCGUGUGCUUACAAAAAGUCAGAGCCCUAUUACUGGGUGAUGGCGUGCCUUUUGUAGAAUGAACCGGCGAGUUACGUUUAACAUGCAAGGUUAAGGUGAGAAGCCGGAGCCGCAGCGAAAGCGAGUCUGAAUAGGGCGAUUAAGUAUGUGGACGUAGACCCGAAACCGUGUGAUCUACCCCUGUCCAGGGUGAAGGUGCGGUAACACGCACUGGAGGCCCGAACCCACGCAUGUUGAAAAAUGCGGGGAUGAGGUGGGGGUAGCGGAGAAAUUCCAAUCGAACUCGGAGAUAGCUGGUUCUCCCCGAAAUAGCUUUAGGGCUAGCCUCGGUGAAUGGAGUGGUGGAGGUAGAGCACUGAUUGGGUGCGGGGCCCGCAAGGGUUACCAAGCUCAGUCAAACUCCGAAUGCCAUUAACUUCUUGCCGGGAGUCAGACAGUGAGUGCUAAGAUCCAUUGUCAAAAGGGAAACAGCCCAGACCAUCAGCUAAGGUCCCCAAGUGUGUGUUAAGUGGGAAAGGAUGUGGAGUUGCACAGACAACCAGGAUGUUGGCUUAGAAGCAGCCACCAUUGAAAGAGUGCGUAAUAGCUCACUGGUCGAGUGACUCUGCGCCGAAAAUGUAACGGGGCUAAACACACCACCGAAGCUAUGGCUAGAUACGUAUGUAUCUGGGGUAGGGGAGCGUUGUAUGUGGGUUGAAGGUGUACCGUAAGGAGCGCUGGACAGCAUACAAGUGAGAAUGCCGGUAUGAGUAACGAAAAGAUCAGUGAGAAUCUGAUCCGCCGAAAGCCCAAGGUUUCCUGAGGAAGGCUCGUCCGCUCAGGGUAAGUCGGGACCUAAGGCGAGGCCGAAAGGCGUAGUCGAAGGACAACAGUUUGAAAUUACUGUACCACCGUAAUCCGCUACGAGCGAUGGGGUGACGCAGGAGGGUAGUGACGCGGACUGAUGGAUGUCCGUCUAAGCAGUGAGGCUGGUGUGUAGGCAAAUCCGCACAUCGUAAGGCUGGGCUGUGAUGGGGAGCGAAAAUUAUAGUAGCGAAGGUCAUGAUCUCACACUGCCAAGAAAAGCCUCUAGCCAGGAGAAGGUGCCCGUACCGCAAACCGACACAGGUAGGCGAGAAGAGAAUUCUAAGGCGCGCGGAAGAACUCUCGUUAAGGAACUCGGCAAAAUGACCUCGUAACUUCGGGAGAAGAGGUGCCUCGGUAGGGUGAAUAGCCCGAGGGGGCCGCAGUGAAAAGGCCCAAGCGACUGUUUAGCAAAAACACAGGUCUGUGCGAAGCCGCAAGGCGAAGUAUACGGGCUGACGCCUGCCCGGUGCUGGAAGGUUAAGGGGAGCGGUUAGGGGUUAAACCCGAAGCUGUGAACCGAAGCCCCAGUAAACGGCGGCCGUAACUAUAACGGUCCUAAGGUAGCGAAAUUCCUUGUCGGGU
rnacentral:rRNA from 1 species